GAAUAUUGUUCUUAGUAUCCCAACUGUAAACCCUCUCCUCUGGAUUUGCUAAUAGGAGAAGGUUUACAGUUGGGAUAAAAAGAACAAUAUUU
rnacentral:pre_miRNA from 1 species